GGACAAGUUUUAACAAUCGUUUCGCGUCUUUCCAUUAUUUGUUUUUGAUCCCUGCGGAAAAGCUUGUGAUGAUGUGGAUAUGUUUCUGGAAUUAAGUGUUACAUAUGUUAGAAAUUGCAUUCAAAUCGGAUUUAAUUUUCAAUACAAUUUGGAAUGUACAUAGAUAUAGUGAAAUUAAGCUUUACGGAUAGACCAACAAAAUUACCUACACACUGGCAUCUUAAAUACAUAGCGUAUGGAAAUGAACAGAAAGACUUUACCGGAUACCAAACCGACCAUAUGCAGAUGAUAUUUUGAAAGAAAAAACACAGCUUAAAAACAUAACUUAUUCUUCACUUAAACGGAGAACUUAGACAAACACAUUGAUUCUGCACCAAGAGCCGACUGAAGGAAAUAAUAACGAUCCUAACAACGUCAGUAAAUUAAAGGAAGAAGACAGGCAUAGAAGUAGCAGGUCAUUGUUUUCUACUGUGCAAUUUGGAAGUGAAUGCUGGUUACGUUUUCAUCCACCUUGAUUGUGUAAUUAUGUCAAUUACAAUACAAAUGAAAAGGAUGUACACGGUUUCAUAUACAUUAGAUUGUAUCACACGAGACCUACAGCCAAUGACAACACAAGCCGUCUCAAACUUGGCGGGAAGAAAGAUGCAAAUAGUGUCAGUAAAUUAAGGUAUUGCAAUAAUGUGUACUAAACUGGAACCUUGGAAAAGCUUUUUAACAAUUGAAGUAUUUCUUUUUUUCAAAUGUGGACAACAACCAGUUUGCAAGACAUUUUCCUAAAACGGUUAUCAAAAAUUUUCACAACAAUCUGUUUCACCUGGCAAUUAUUUCUUAUUGACCAGAGUUGAAAACAUCGCUAAAAAGUGACUGUGGUUUUGGCAUAAAAUAGUACUUGCUUAGACUAUAUACUCAAACAUGAUUUAAGCGCCAAAACAGUUUGAAAUAUAUAUAGAUAUAGAUAAGGAGUAUAAUUAAGUGUGAGCAGGUUUUAUUAUAAUAAUUAAUAUGUAUUCAAAUUGAUUUUAAGUUUUCAACGGGGUUUGAAAUAUGCAUAAAUUAGUGAAGGAAUAUAAAUUAUUUUCGAGCAGCUUUAAUUAUAAUUAUUUCUGUUUAUUCAAAUUGGAUCUAAUUUUUAAAUAUAAUUUGGAAUAUACAUAGACAGAGUGAACGUGAUAUUCAGGUCAGAUUUAAUAUUCAAUAUGAUUCGGAAUAUACAAAGAUAGCGCGAAGGACGAUUAUUAUUGAUAAUUAGGUUAUGUUGUGACCAUUAACAUUCAGAUCGGAUUUCAUUUCCAAUACAAUUUGAAAUAUCAACAGGCAAAUUGAAGAAAUGUAAUUAUUGACGAUAUUCAAAUCGGAUUUAGCUUUCAAUACAUUUCAGAAUAUUCAAACAUAUAUUGAAGGUAUAUUAUUGAUGAUAUUCAGUUCGAAGUCAAUGUUAAAUGCAAGUUGGAUUGUGCAAAGCUAUAGUAUUGGAAUAUAAAUACCGAUUAUCAUAAUGGAAGUACAGCCAAGGACAACACAAUUCGCCCCAAACAUGAUGGAUAGAUGGAUGCAGUGUCAGUAAGUUAAGGUAUUGUGAACAAAAAUGGAAUCUUUGAAAGCUUUAAAGCUAUUGAAGUGUUUCUGUUUUUCAAAUAUGAAGAACAACCAAAAUGCACAACGUUUUUCUCAAAUAGCUAUUAGAAAAGUUUAUAACAGUUUAUUUCACCUGGAAAUUACUUGCUAUUGGUUUAAGUUGAAAUUAUCGCAAGCGAGUUGUUGUGGUAUAAAUUAUUACAUGCUUAGUUUAUAUACUAAAUCAAGAUUAAAGAGUCAAUACAGCUUGGAAUAUAUAGAGAAGGAGAAUAAUUAUUUGUGAGUAGGUUUUAUUAAAAUAAUCGAUAUAUAUUUGAAUUGGAUUUCAUUUUUCAACAGAGUUUGAAAUACACAUAAGUUAGUGAAUGAAUAUAAAUUAUUUGUGAGUUGGUUUGAUUAUAAUUAUUUCUGUUUAUUCAAACUGGAUCUAAUUUUUAAUAUAAUUUGGAAUAUAUAUAUAGACAGAGUGAACGUGCAAUUCAGGUCGGAUUUAAUUUUCAACAUGAUUUGGAAUAUUCAAAGAUAAAUUGAAGGACGAUUAUUAUUGAUGAUUAGGUUAUAUUGUGAUCAUUAACAAUCAAAUUGGAUUGUAUUUGCAAUACAAUAGACAAAGUGAAGAAAUAUGAUUAUUGGCGAUAUUCAAAUCGGAAUUAAUUUUCAAUACAAUGCAGAAUAUUCAAACAUAUAUUAAAGGUAUAUUAUUAUUGAUGAUAUUCAGUUCGAAGUCAAUGUUUAAUACAAGUUGGAUUCCUCAAAGCUAUAGUACGAGAAUAUAAUUACUGGUAAGUGUUAUUUUAUUUAUUGAUACAUAUUCAAAUCUGGCAUAAUUCUCAAAACCUUAGAAAUAUACAUUGAUAAAAUCAAGGAAUGUAAUAAUCAAUUACCAGUAGUUCUAACCAUUAUAUAAAGUAAACAACAAAUAACCCAUUACAUAUCUAGUUAAUAAAAUUUAAAUCAAAUAAGGAAAUGAUCCGUGGAGUAAAUACAUUUGGAGGACUAAGAAGAGGUCUUUACUGAAUGUAAAAUAAGAAAAUUCGCUUUUCGUAAAAGUAUUUAUAAUUUUAGAAACAAUCAUAUAUAAACGGUUUAUCAGAUAUAUUUAUACUAAAUUCUGUGAUAUGCUGGAUAUAAUAUCAGGUGUUGUAAACUUACUGAAAAGCCUGUUCGGUCCUAAGUUAGAAAAAAGACAUACUUGUCAUUAUUUAAUAAAACAAUAAAAAUAAGGAUAUUUUAUUUGGAACGGACACAAAUGAUAGUUUGAUUUUUAAAUAGACUAAUAACAUUCAAUAAACAGAAAGAAAAGAAAUGUAGCAGAGAAAAUACUUACAGUACUAAUAACAAUUUUUUAAACGACCAAAUCACCAGCCAUGAUUUUAAGGCCUUUGAACCUUAAGUACAAAAAUUCAAAUAAUUAUAUCAUUUACCUUGGUUUCACUUUUGUAUGUAUGUGUAGAUAGAAUAUUGCUGCAUUUUAAUUGUUGCUAUACAAAUGAUAGACAAAUAGAGAAAUAAUGUUCUAUUAUCAAUAAUAGUUUUUUCAGAAGAAUAAUUAAUCACAUAGAAAUACAACAACAUAAAUUUAAUUUUAAGCGUAUUCUAAUUUUGUACGCUAUUUUCCGAUUUAUUUCCUUUUUUGUCACACUUGAUAUCUAAAUGCAUGUUACACACAGAAAAACGUGAUGAAAAAUAGAUGCUUCUUAUUAAACAUUUUACUGCUCGUUCUCUCCUUUAAAGAUUCUUUUUUUUAAUUUUCUGAAAAUAUUCCUGCAAUUGUUUUGACUAAAUAAGAUUGUACAAUUCCUUGAUUAACGGGUUCAUUUUCACGCUAGGAUGCUAUGUAAAUUUGGACCUUUAAGCACAGUUAAAACGUUACGUCUUUUUUCCUUCAUCUCGUUUUGAAUAUGCAUCUUUCGACCAACUUAAAACUCAGAAUUAGUCAGGAAUAAUAAUUGUUUUCGUCAACAUUCUAUCUUUUCUUUGGAAGCACUAAACUCUUUUUCCACAGUGACUUACAACUCUCCCAUUGAGUACUGUUAGUCACGAAUAGAGUGACUGCACCGGAUACCAAACCUGUGAACGCUCGAUUGGCGGGCGAGCGCUCCAUUCUAUUUGUCAUUCGGUCCAACAUAAUAAGUAGGGGUGAUAUUUGACUCGGUGAAUUAGACAAGAGACUAUUUUCACGGGUCAGUUGUAUUUGAAGUUUCAAAACUGGAAUUAUUUCAAAAUAUAAAUUGCACAUUUUUGUUAACCAUGGUUGAAAAUGUUCAUUUAAAAAGAUGAAAGUUAACAUUGUGGGAAGGGUUGAAUAUGCCGAUGUUGAAAUAAUGUGUAGCCCGACCCCAUAUGUUUUGUUUUUUUUUGUGUUAAAAAGAUUGCUUGUACUAUUUUAUGUAUGCAACAAAACAAUCAAAUAUGAUUAAAAUAUGAAACGAAAAAGUUCAUUGUUAUAUACCCUUAUUUAUCACUACCCCUUUUUUAUUCAUAUUUAAUCUUUGCCGUUUUUUUCUAUAUUUUGAUAGUGCCGUUUUAAAACAGGCCCAGAGAGGUCUUGUUUUCGGGCGGCCGGUUUCUAGAUUUUUGCGUUAAUGUUUGGAAACGGCACCUAUUUUUCUAGUUUAUACUUCAGUUUAUUCAUAUCACCCGGUUUUGUUUCAAGC